CCCCGCACUCCCGGGGCGUCUCGUUCUCAUCGCGAGAAGAGGCGCACCCAGAGCGUACGCGCUGGGACCCGAAAGAUGGUGAACUAUGCCUGGUCAGGACGAAGUCAGGGGAAACCCUGAUGGAGGUCCGAAGCGAUUCUGACGUGCAAAUCGAUCGUCGGAACUGGGUAUAGGGGCGAAAGACUAAUCGAACCAUCUAGUAGCUGGUUCCCUCCGAAGUUUCCCUCAGGAUAGCUGGCGCUCGCUUUUGCGAGUCUCAUCUGGUAAAGCGAAUGAUUAGAGGCAUUGGGGUCGAAACGGCCUCAACCUAUUCUCAAACUUUAAAUGGGUGAGAUCUCCGGCUUGCUUGAACAGUGAAGCCGCGAGAUCGGAUCAGAGUGCCAAGUGGGCCAUUUUUGGUAAGCAGAACUGGCGCUGUGGGAUGAACCAAACGCAGAGUUAAAGCUCCCAAAUCUA
rnacentral:rRNA from 1 species